ACAAUGGGCGCAAGCCUGAUGGAGCAACACCGCGUGAGUGAAGAAGGGUUUCGGCUCGUAAAGCUCUGUUGUUAAAGAAGAACACGUAUGAGAGUAACUGUUCAUACGUUGACGGUAUUUAACCAGAAAGUCACGGCUAACUACGUGCCAGCAGCCGCGGUAAUACGUAGGUGGCAAGCGUUAUCCGGAUUUAUUGGGCGUAAAGAGAGUGCAGGCGGUUUUCUAAGUCUGAUGUGAAAGCCUUCGGCUUAACCGGAGAAGUGCAUCGGAAAUUGGAUAACUUGAGUGCAGAAGAGGGUAGUGGAACUCCAUGUGUAGCGGUGGAAUGCGUAGAUAUAUGGAAGAACACCAGUGGCGAAGGCGGCUACCUGGUCUGCAACUGACGCUGAGACUCGAAAGCAUGGGUAGCGAACAGGAUUAGAUACCCUGGUAG
rnacentral:rRNA from 1 species